CACAGAUUCUAUGGACAUUUGGACUAUAUAGAUGUCAGCAUUUCAUUUAAAGCAGCAUCUGCAGUGAUUCACAAGCGGUGGAGAAGGAAGCAGCAGCUGAAGUGCGUUAGGGUUUCCUGCAGGAGAGAGGAGGGAUGGUGGCAUUGUCAUCACAGCAGGCAUUGUUGUUUGGCAGGUCCACCACCAAUGCAGUGACAGCUGUGGAUUACCUGAAACAGAACAGAGGACUCGAACCUGCAGCCUCUGAGUUGCUAGUCGUUCCUCCAUCUCACUGAGCUAUUCCUCCACACCCCUGCACAUUGACUUUUUGUGUCUGUGUCUCGUUGACCCCCACCGCAGUCCCUGUUGCAGUGGGUCCUUUCAGGCUCCUGGAAUCGAACCCACAUCCUCAGUGUGUGAAGCUAUAUCCGAGAUGCAUGUGCUAUACCACUACACUACCAAGCCGUGUGACAAUCGGAGCCUUUCCCAUUGUGCUUUUGGUCAAACCUUUCAGUCCAGUU
ensembl:lncRNA